GGUUAAGCGACUAAGCGUACACGGUGGAUGCCCUGGCAGUCAGAGGCGAUGAAGGACGUGCUAAUCUGCGAUAAGCGUCGGUAAGGUGAUAUGAACCGUUAUAACCGGCGAUUUCCGAAUGGGGAAACCCAGUGUGAUUCGUCACACUAUCAUUAACUGAAUCCAUAGGUUAAUGAGGCGAACCGGGGGAACUGAAACAUCUAAGUACCCCGAGGAAAAGAAAUCAACCGAGAUUCCCCCAGUAGCGGCGAGCGAACGGGGAGGAGCCCAGAGCCUGAAUCAGUAUGUGUGUUAGUGGAAGCGUCUGGAAAGGCGUGCGAUACAGGGUGACAGCCCCGUACACAAAAAUGCACAUGCUGUGAGCUCGAUGAGUAGGGCGGGACACGUGGUAUCCUGUCUGAAUAUGGGGGGACCAUCCUCCAAGGCUAAAUACUCCUGACUGACCGAUAGUGAACCAGUACCGUGAGGGAAAGGCGAAAAGAACCCCGGCGAGGGGAGUGAAAAAGAACCUGAAACCGUGUACGUACAAGCAGUGGGAGCCUCUUUAAUGGGGUGACUGCGUACCUUUUGUAUAAUGGGUCAGCGACUUAUAUUCUGUAGCAAGGUUAACCGAAUAGGGGAGCCGAAGGGAAACCGAGUCUUAACUGGGCGUUAAGUUGCAGGGUAUAGACCCGAAACCCGGUGAUCUAGCCAUGGGCAGGUUGAAGGUUGGGUAACACUAACUGGAGGACCGAACCGACUAAUGUUGAAAAAUUAGCGGAUGACUUGUGGCUGGGGGUGAAAGGCCAAUCAAACCGGGAGAUAGCUGGUUCUCCCCGAAAGCUAUUUAGGUAGCGCCUCGUGAAUUCAUCUCCGGGGGUAGAGCACUGUUUCGGCAAGGGGGUCAUCCCGACUUACCAACCCGAUGCAAACUGCGAAUACCGGAGAAUGUUAUCACGGGAGACACACGGCGGGUGCUAACGUCCGUCGUGAAGAGGGAAACAACCCAGACCGCCAGCUAAGGUCCCAAAGUCAUGGUUAAGUGGGAAACGAUGUGGGAAGGCCCAGACAGCCAGGAUGUUGGCUUAGAAGCAGCCAUCAUUUAAAGAAAGCGUAAUAGCUCACUGGUCGAGUCGGCCUGCGCGGAAGAUGUAACGGGGCUAAACCAUGCACCGAAGCUGCGGCAGCGACGCUUAUGCGUUGUUGGGUAGGGGAGCGUUCUGUAAGCCGUUGAAGGUGUGCUGUGAGGCAUGCUGGAGGUAUCAGAAGUGCGAAUGCUGACAUAAGUAACGAUAAAGCGGGUGAAAAGCCCGCUCGCCGGAAGACCAAGGGUUCCUGUCCAACGUUAAUCGGGGCAGGGUGAGUCGACCCCUAAGGCGAGGCCGAAAGGCGUAGUCGAUGGGAAACAGGUUAAUAUUCCUGUACUUGGUGUUACUGCGAAGGGGGGACGGAGAAGGCUAUGUUGGCCGGGCGACGGUUGUCCCGGUUUAAGCGUGUAGGCUGAUUUUCCAGGCAAAUCCGGAGAAUCAAGGCUGAGGCGUGAUGACGAGGCACUACGGUGCUGAAGCAACAAAUGCCCUGCUUCCAGGAAAAGCCUCUAAGCAUCAGGUAACAUCAAAUCGUACCCCAAACCGACACAGGUGGUCAGGUAGAGAAUACCAAGGCGCUUGAGAGAACUCGGGUGAAGGAACUAGGCAAAAUGGUGCCGUAACUUCGGGAGAAGGCACGCUGAUAUGUAGGUGAAGCGACUUGCUCGUGGAGCUGAAAUCAGUCGAAGAUACCAGCUGGCUGCAACUGUUUAUUAAAAACACAGCACUGUGCAAACACGAAAGUGGACGUAUACGGUGUGACGCCUGCCCGGUGCCGGAAGGUUAAUUGAUGGGGUCAGCCGCAAGGCGAAGCUCUUGAUCGAAGCCCCGGUAAACGGCGGCCGUAACUAUAACGGUCCUAAGGUAGCGAAAUUCCUUGUCGGGUAAGUUCCGACCUGCACGAAUGGCGUAAUGAUGGCCAGGCUGUCUCCACCCGAGACUCAGUGAAAUUGAACUCGCUGUGAAGAUGCAGUGUACCCGCGGCAAGACGGAAAGACCCCGUGAACCUUUACUAUAGCUUGACACUGAACAUUGAGCCUUGAUGUGUAGGAUAGGUGGGAGGCUUUGAAGUGUGGACGCCAGUCUGCAUGGAGCCGACCUUGAAAUACCACCCUUUAAUGUUUGAUGUUCUAACGUGGACCCGUGAUCCGGGUUGCGGACAGUGUCUGGUGGGUAGUUUGACUGGGGCGGUCUCCUCCUAAAGAGUAACGGAGGAGCACGAAGGUUGGCUAAUCCUGGUCGGACAUCAGGAGGUUAGUGCAAUGGCAUAAGCCAGCUUGACUGCGAGCGUGACGGCGCGAGCAGGUGCGAAAGCAGGUCAUAGUGAUCCGGUGGUUCUGAAUGGAAGGGCCAUCGCUCAACGGAUAAAAGGUACUCCGGGGAUAACAGGCUGAUACCGCCCAAGAGUUCAUAUCGACGGCGGUGUUUGGCACCUCGAUGUCGGCUCAUCACAUCCUGGGGCUGAAGUAGGUCCCAAGGGUAUGGCUGUUCGCCAUUUAAAGUGGUACGCGAGCUGGGUUUAGAACGUCGUGAGACAGUUCGGUCCCUAUCUGCCGUGGGCGCUGGAGAACUGAGGGGGGCUGCUCCUAGUACGAGAGGACCGGAGUGGACGCAUCACUGGUGUUCGGGUUGUCAUGCCAAUGGCACUGCCCGGUAGCUAAAUGCGGAAGAGAUAAGUGCUGAAAGCAUCUAAGCACGAAACUUGCCCCGAGAUGAGUUCUCCCUGAGACUUUAAGUCUCCUGAAGGAACGUUGAAGACGACGACGUUGAUAGGCCGGGUGUGUAAGCGCAGCGAUGCGUUGAGCUAACCGGUACUAAUGAACCGUGAGGCUUAACCUU
rnacentral:rRNA from 1 species